rnacentral:misc_RNA from 1 species
CAAACUAGUUAGAGUCGGCUAUAUUGAUCUUUUUUCACCAUUCACUAUUUUAACAUAACAAUUCAAUGAAAAUUAUAAAAUAAUAUUAAUAAAAAAAGUGUGUGUAUGUACACAAGUGCACAAGCGUGCCAUGCUAUGUAAGACUACUUGAAAGUAGAAUAAGCAAUUUAAGCAAAAGAAAGAGCAAGAAAUGAAUGCUUUGUUGAAAAUAAUUACCUGUAACUGUGAAAAUCUAAUG